AUGAGCCGGAUGCGCGGAGACCCGCACGUACGGUUUUUAGGGGGAUCUAGUCGAAAAACCAGCCGGCGCCCACCCGAC
rfam:Nicotiana attenuata strain TT chromosome 8, whole genome shotgun sequence.